rnacentral:rRNA from 1 species
CCGACAGUUCCCUUGAGUUUCGGCUUGGGCCCGUGCUCCCCAGGCGGAGGACUUAACGCCGCGUGUGCGACGAAGAUGUUCGGGUUGUCACGCCCUUUUCUGGGGGACGAUAGAGGACGGUCCCCCAGGAAUACUACACCUGUAACUACGUGCCACUUUCCCGCCUCAUACGUAGGUGGUAAGCGUAAUCCGGAUUUAUUGGGUGUACUUCCUCCUGAUAUCGAUCUGUUUCUCCGAUACGCAAGCUCCUGCCUCCACUGGUGUACGACUCUCGAUCCUGCGGGACUUGAGGUCGGGAGAGGGACAUGCCAUUCCCGGUGUUCUGGUGGAAUGCGACGCCUCCACGCCCUUUCCACCCAGCGAAUGCGAAAACCUGUCGCCCACCCUACAUUACCACGCCUGCUGUGGGUAGUUAACGGGAUUAGAUACCUCGGUAGUCCACGCCGUAAUUGCGGAUACUAUUUGUUGGUGGCUAUCGACCUUACAACCCGAAGCUAACUCUUCCUCCAUCUCGCCUGCUGCUACGGGCUUUCGGCUAUUGCUCAAAUGAAUUGACUGAUGCC